rnacentral:rRNA from 1 species
GUGAUCAAGCGACGCCGCGUGCGGGAUGAAGGCCUUCGGGUUGUAAACCGCUGUCACAGGUUAUGAACGACUCGGCGUUAAUAGCGCUGAGUCUUGACAAAGGCCUGAGAGGAAGCCACGGCUAACUUCGUGCCAGCAGCCGCGGUAAGACGAAGGUGGCGACCGUUGUUCGGAAUCACUGGGCAUAAAGCGCGCGUAGGCGGCAAAGUAAGUCGGGUGUGAAAUCCCUCGGCCUAACCGAGGAACUGCGCUCGAAACUACUUUGCUUGAGGACGGAAGGGGAGUGUGGAAUUCCUGGUGGAGCGGUGAAAUGCGUUGAUAUCAGGAGGAACACCGGCGGCGAAGGCGACACUCUGGUCCGUUUCUGACGCUGAGGCGCGAAAGCUAGGGGAGCAAACGGGAUUAGAUACCCCGGUAGUCCUAGCCGUAAACGAU